rnacentral:rRNA from 1 species
AGCGAACGCUGGCGGCAUGCUUAACACAUGCAAGUCGAACGAUGGCUUCGGCCAUAGUGGCGCACGGGUGAGUAACGCGUGGGAACCUGCCCUUCGGUACGGAAUAACGUCGGGAAACUGACGCUAAUACCGUAUACGGUCUUCGGACGAAAGAUUUAUCGCCGAAGGAGGGGCCCGCGUCCGAUUAGGUAGUUGGUGAGGUGACGGCUCACCAAGCCUGCGAUCGGGAGCUGGUCUGAGAGGAUGAUCAGCCACACGGGGACUGAGACACGGCCCAGACUACUACGGGAUGCAGCAGUGGGGAAGAUUGGACAGUGGGGGAAACCCUGAUCCAGCAAUGACGCGUGAGUGAUGAAGGCCUUCGGGUUGUAAAGCUCUUUUGUCCGGGACGAUGAUGACGGUACCGGAAGAAUAAGCCCCGGCUAACUUCGUGCCAGCCGCCGCGGUAGUGC